CCCCUACGGGAGGCAGCAGUGGGGAAUAUUGCACAAUGGGGGGAAACCCUGAUGCAGCGACGCCGCGUGAGUGAAGAAGUAUUUCGGUAUGUAAAGCUCUAUCAGCAGGGAAGAUAAUGACAGUACCUGACUAAGAAGCCCCGGCUAACUACGUGCCAGCAGCCGCGGUUAUGGGG
rnacentral:rRNA from 1 species